UAGUAAUUAAGUAGCUUGUAUCUUGCUUGGUAUGAUAAUUACCCUUCUCUUAGGUCUGUUGACUAGUGUUCAUCUAUCGCCUACUACCGUCAGCUCAGAUAGAAUUUGGAGUGGUAUGAAGUACCUCGUGCACUGAAGAACCAGCAUUUUGAAGGACCUGCAGGUGCUACCACAAGGCUCCCCAGGAGGGGAAAUCAGGAUAGCACAUCUCAGCAGAUGGGAGCAUAAAUCUGGCUAGGAAGAGAACGCAAGUGAGAAACAUGUUGAGUCAAUCUCCUCCAAAGAUACUCAUUGAAAAUCUUAAGGGUGAUUAUAAAUGAAGAAUGUAUAUGACUAUAGAAAAUCAACCUUAAGCAAAGGAUUGGGAGAUACUAGGAUAUAUGGAGACCUCUGGCAUUCAUCAUUCACACAUGGAGUUAUUCAAACUGAUGAGCACUGGCAAAAGUAAUUCCUGCGUCUUCCUGGCUGCUCGACAAAAUGAGCACAGCUGAUUUCAGGCUACUCUGUAGAAGCAGUACAGAAAACAUUCAUGACUUCAGGUAGGAAAUAGGUAAUAAAGUAAGUGUCAUUUCAUAGCA
rnacentral:lncRNA from 1 species